rnacentral:misc_RNA from 1 species
GUGGUAUGGACACUGCAGCGUUCACUGCAGAGCGCCGAAGUGGGGGCGCCCCGGCCACUGCGACCUCACCUCAUGCGAAAGCGGCGUCGAGAGACGAUCGCGGCAUCCCAGCUGCUCCAGAAGCCCCACUUGGCACGACAAGCACAUCUUUUCCGAGGCCGUCACCGCAAUGGAUGCGCAUUCAGAACCGCACUCGCGCCCUACACGCGUGGGAGGCAAAGUACGCUGUGGUGGAGGCGGAUGCGCAAGCCGCGAUGGAGGCCGCCGUGGGUGGCAAUGCGGCGCUCACGGAGGACUUGCAGCACCUCUGCCGCGAAGACGCGCUGCUCAGCAAAGACGAAGCCGCUUUGCGGGGCGAAGACGGUGCGCUGCAAGCGGACGGCGCAGCAGUCGAUGGCCAAAGCAGGGCCGCGGCUGCACAAGCGCUCGUGGCUGCCUCGACCAACGCGCGACGGCGACAAGCGUUGCGGGAGGCUCAGCGCGAAUUCGCGCAGACGCAGGCGCGGCACGCCGACUCGCUUCACAGCUUGACGGCGGAGAUGAGACAAGUGGAAGCGAGCACUGCUGGCGCCGAGGCUCAGGCUCAGCUCCUGGUGCAGCUCAUUGCGGACAAGGAACGGAAACUCGCCCUCGACACAGACAGCAUACGCAGCCGUGAGCGUGACCGCCUGGCGCCCGUGGAGCGCUGAAUCGAGCACCUUCACACUCAACUACAGGGCGUCGAGCGGCACUGAAACAGCCAGCAGCACGCGUGAUGUGCGGGUGCCUGCUCGUGUGCACCCCCACGCAUUCGUGUAGAAGAGCUCUGUGCUGCGCUCGGUACGAGGGGCUACUAUGCCAUAGACGGCAUCAAGGCG